UACAGAGGUCCCGAGCGUUGUUCGGAUUCACUGGGCGUAAAGGGUGCGUAGGUGGUUUUGAAAGUCUGAUGUGAAAGCUCGGAGCUCAACUCCGAAACGGCAUUGGAAACUUCAAAGCUAGAGAGUUGGAGGGGGGACUGGAAUUCUCGGUGUAGCAGUGAAAUGCGUAGAUAUCGAGAGGAACACCAGUGGCGAAGGCGAGUCCCUGGACAACUUCUGACACUGAGGCACGAAAGCUAGGGGAGCAAACAGG
rnacentral:rRNA from 1 species